rnacentral:lncRNA from 1 species
GUCCAUCCAUCACUUGCAGAAAACAAAAGAGAGCAAGAGAGAAGACAGUGGGUGAAGUCCUGGUUCCAGACUCCCCUUUUUGCCGGGAUAUGAUGGAUCUGUCAGCUGGUGCCUAGAGUCCUAGAGAGCUAGAGAUGGAGGGAAAUUCAGAUCAUCUAAACCCUUCAGCCCUUCACUGGACAGAAGAGGAAACUGAGGCUCCAUCUGCAUGACGUUCCCAGAGUCACGGCACAAAUUCAUGGAAGAAGCAGCAGGAAACUCAGUUCUCCAGUCUGGGUCCAAUGUGUGUUUUAGAAAUAUCUCCACAGGGUUAAUGACUCAAUUUUUCAUGCAUGAUUGCUAGUAAUGACAAUCAUGUUAUGUUUGUUUCUGUAGCUUUGGAAAUCACUCCUUCCACUUGAGUUUCAGGUCCCAACUGUCCACACCUGCAGGAGUGAGGUUUUGCUGAGACUGAUAAGGCACUCACAUUUUGUGGGAGUUGAAUUGUCUCUGUAGCCUAGAAUCUAGAUUUUUUUCCCUCCUCUGCUCUCAGUGAACGGAGAAUUCCAUCUCGGUACAAUCUGUGAACCAUUCUGCAGUAAGAUUGUCAUCGUCUCAUUCAUACUACCUGGUCGGUAACACAAAGGGCUGUAAUUGAUGUGGUUCAGAGACUCACAUCCAAGCAAUAAAAAUGAAUCCCUUAUGGUGGUCUGCAGCAACGCAAA